rnacentral:rRNA from 1 species
GAGUUUGAUCAUGGCUCAGAACGUACGCUGGCGGCACGCCUAACACAUGCAAGUCGAACGAAGUAGCAAUACUUAGUGGCAGACGGGUGAGUAACAUGUGGGUAUCUGCCCUUUGGCCUGGAAUAACACGAGGAAACUUGUGCUAAUACCGGAUAAGUCUUUACGGAGAAAGCUUUAUGCACCAUUGGAUGAGCCCGCACUUGAUUAGUUUGUUGGUGGGGUAAUGGCCUACCAAGACUGUGAUCAAUAGCUGAUUUGAGAGGAUGAUCAGCCACAUUGGGACUGAGACACGGCCCAAACUCCUACGGGGGGCAGCAGUGGGGAAUCUUGCACAAUGGAGGAAACUCUGAUGCAGCGAUGCCGCGUGAGUGAAGAAGGCCUUUGGGUUGUAAAGCUCUUUCGUCGGGGAAGAAAAUGACUGUACCCGAAUAAGAAGGUCCGGCUAACUUCGUGCCAGCAGCCGCGGUAAUACGAAGGGACCUAGCGUAGUUCGGAAUUACUGGGCUUAAAGAGUUCGUAGGUGGUUAAAAUAGUUGGUGGUGAAAUCCCAGAGCUUAACUCUGGAACUGCCAUCGAAACUUUUUAGCUAGAGUAUGAUAGAGGAAAGUAGAAUUUCUAGUGUAGAGGUGAAAUUCGUAGAUAUUAGAAAGAAUACCGAUUGCGAAGGCAACUUUCUGGAUCAUUACUGACACUGAGGAACGAAAGCAUGGGUAGCGAAGAGGAUUAGAUACCCUCGUAGUCCAUGCCGUAAACGAUGUGUGUUAGACGUUGGAAAUUUAUUUUCAGUGUCGCAGCGAAAGCGAUAAACACACCGCCUGGGGAGUACGACCGCAAGGUUAAAACUCAAAUGAAUUGACGGGGACCCGCACAAGUAGUGGAGCAUGUGGUUUAAUUCGAAGAUACGCGCAGAACCUUACCAACACUUGACAUGUUCGUCGCGACUCUGAGAGAUUAGAGUUUUCGGUUCGGCCGGACGAAACACAGGUGCUGCAUGGCUGUCGUCAGCUCGUGUCGUGAGAUGUUGGGUUAAGUCCCGCAACGAGCGCAACCCUCACUUUUAGUUGCCAUCAUUAAGUUGGGCACUCUGAAAGAACUGCCAGUGAUAAGCUGGAGGAAGGUGGGGAUGACGUCAAGUCCUCAUGGCCCUUACGUGUUGGGCUACACACGUGCUACAAUGGUAUCUACAACAGGAAGCAAGACUGCGAGGUCAAGCAAAUCCUUAAAAGAUACCUCAGUUCGGAUUGCACUCUGCAACUCGAGUGCAUGAAGCUGGAAUUACUAGUAAUCGUGGAUCAGCGUGCCACGGUGAAUGCGUUCCCGGGUCUUGUACACACCGCCCGUCACACCAUGGGAGUUGGUUCUACCUUAAGGCAAGGUUUCAAACCCUUGACCACGGUAUAGUCAGCGACUGGGGUGAAGUCGUAACAAGGUAACC